GACGAACGCUGGCGGCGUGCCUAAUACAUGCAAGUAGAACGCUGAAGGAGGAGCUUGCUCUUCUGGAUGAGUUGCGAACGGGUGAGUAACGCGUAGGUAACCUGCCUGGUAGCGGGGGAUAACUAUUGGAAACGAUAGCUAAUACCGCAUAAGAGUAGAUGUUGCAUGACAUUUACUUAAAAGGUGCAAUUGCAUCACUACCAGAUGGACCUGCGUUGUAUUAGCUAGUUGGUGGGGUAACGGCUUACCAAGGCGACGAUACAUAGCCGACCUGGGAGGGUGAUCGGCCACACUGGGACUGAGACACGGCCCAGACUCCUACGGGAGGCAGCAGUAGGGAAUCUUCGGCAAUGGACGGAAGUCUGACCGAGCAACGCCGCGUGAGUGAAGAAGGUUUUCGGAUCGUAAAGCUCUGUUGUAAGAGAAGAACGAGUGUGAGAGUGGAAAGUUCACAAUGUGACGGUAUCUUACCAGAAAGGGACGGCUAACUACGUG
rnacentral:rRNA from 1 species